rnacentral:lncRNA from 1 species
UGUCCCUCGCGGGCCGCCGUAGGUCCCGCUAUAAAGGACUCGGCGCCGGCCCACUCAUCCUCUCUGCGGCGGGCGGCGGGGCGGCCGGAUGGCUGUGGUGUGGCCGGGAUGCCUGGGCGUUCCCAACGCGGGCGCGGUGGCGCACCGUGCCGAGCGCCAGCGGGGCCUCCCAGGCGCGGCCGUCUCGGGGCCAGGGAGUUUGCCUGCCCGAAGCUGAGCGCCCGCAAGGAGAUGCAGGACCUUGGGAAGGAAGGUGACUGA